GACGGAGGAUGCAAGUGUUAUCCGGAAUCACUGGGCGUAAAGCGUCUGUAGGUGGUUUAAUAAGUCAACUGUUAAAUCUUGAGGCUCAACCUCAAAAUCGCAGUCGAAACUAUUAGGCUAGAGUAUAGUAGGGGUAAAGGGAAUUUCCAGUUGGAGCGGUGAAAUGCGUAGAGAUUGGAAAGAACACCGAUGGCGAAGGCACUUUACUGGGCUAUUACUAACACUCAGAGACGAAAGCUAGGGUAGCAAAUGGA
rnacentral:rRNA from 1 species